ensembl:lincRNA Redrum Redrum, erythroid developmental long intergenic non-protein coding transcript
AGACUGCUUUCUCAAGUGGCUUAGUGUCUCCACUCAGGGGUGGUGGAGCUCUUCUUCUCACUGCUUCUUCUCAUUUUUUUCAUGCUCUGGCCUAAUGUCUUGGUGGUAUUAGCCUAGCACAACUUCAGUUGCACUGCAGGUUCUUCAUAAAAUUGAAACACUGUUUCCAGAUUUGGAUUUUCUUCUGCUCUGCCAUGGGUUGUUCACAUUCUCUCAAGGUUGUUACUACUGUUUUACCUUUUUCUACUUGAUAAUUUUGGAAACCGGCUUGAUGGAGGCCCUACAGUGACUAUUCAUUGGCUGAGCCUUUGGAUUAUCUUGGGAGGACCCUGAAAGAAUGACCUGGCCGGAAGAUUGUCCCAUCCUGCAUGAGGAGGGAAGAAUGAGCCUCACUCUACACCCAGAAUGCCAACUACAUUUUCAUCCAGUCCUCAAAAAAUAUCAUGCGCACCCAGAUUCUCCUGGUCAGACCAACACUGUGGAAACCCACUGGAUGCAUUCAGAGGGAUCACUGAUAAUGAAGAAUGAGAUGCCGUCAUCCAUCUGUAGGAAGAUGCUGCGUGUGCCAUAGAACCCAAAAGUCAUCUAUUGCAAGAGAGAAUCGAUUCUCCCAAGUAAACGGGGCCCUAUUAGUUUAAAAACUAAUGCAGCACAGAGAGAAAUCAGGUUCCUCAGACAAUGUUGAUUCUGUUUCCUUUUGAACCAUUAACAGCCUCACUUAAAGCCAUGUAUUGAAAGCUGCGACUUAACGUUAACCACAGUUUCUAAUGCAUUAAACAAAUGGCAAGGAUGACUGUAGGUCAUAGCCCCCUCCCUUCACACAUUAUACGCAAAUGCUUCUCUACUGGGUAUUUAAAGGAGAAAAGUUACAUCUAAACUCACUCCAUAAUGUAUGCUUUCAGCGUGGGAUGCUAAGCAAGUUCUGAUUUUGCGAGCUCAGAGUCACGCUAAAUGCCGGGAAUACAGGUUUCUUCUCAGAAAGGGCGGGCGGCUUUGGCUAAUGUCCUGGGGGAUGUCUUCAAAAUGCAAAGUGUGUGUCUGACCAUGGCCAUGGCAGUCUCAAGUUCCUUUGCCAAGGACUUUGGGGAAAUUCUUCCUCAGGAAACUCACAUAGCGGGAAGAGCAAGAGAGUCACAAAUAGUGCUUAAACCUGGGGUCUAUACCUUUUAACUCUUCAAACAGACAACAGCAGUAAAAAGAGCUCUGCUGCCAGUCUUCAGAGUCUUAACUGAGUUGGAGGCGAACUAUUGUGAAGUAUAAUGUAGUUAGUGACUCUGAAGUUAGUCCACAGAAAGCCAUUCUUUUUAAAUGGACCUACACAACAAUUGCCCCGCACACAAACUGCACAUGCAAUAUUCAAAGCCACUGCUAGGUGCGUUGCUGAGUGCAGAGAGCUGUGCUCCCAGAACCAUCAAGUCAACACGCCAGCUGCUCAGCAUUAUUUACAAUAUAUUGGCUUCACCACUGACCUAAAGAGCUGAAGAAAAUAACAGGCCAUAUUUUCAGCUUGGUAAAAGCCUGCAGUGGGGAGCCCUUUCACAACAAUUACAAGCAUUUGCUCGGAAUGCAUUUGCUGAUUUAACAAACUGGAGAGGACAAAUGUUUAACAUGCUGUCGUGAGGCUGUUCAGUCGCUUUUCUUGGUAUCCGUUGAUCUGAGAUAAUGUGUUCUUGCCCAAUCAUGCUACAAAGAAGCAGCGGAAAUAAAUAAAUAAAUAGAUGUAAUGCGAUGCGUUCCCACAAUAGCUGAGCUGCUGACGGCCCCUGACAGAUGG